UACGAAGGGUGCAAACGUUGCUCGGAAUCAUUGGGCGUAAAGCGCACGUAGGCGGCGAUCUAAGUCGGAUGUGAAAUCCCUCGGCUCAACCGAGGACGUGCAUCCGAAACUGGAUUGCUCGAGUAUGGAAGAGGGUCGCGGAAUUCCCGGUGUAGAGGUGAAAUUCGUAGAUAUCGGGAGGAACACCAGUGGCGAAGGCGGCGAUCUGGGUCGAUACUGACGCUGAGGUGCGAAAGCGUGGGGAGCAAACAGG
rnacentral:rRNA from 1 species